UCCGUGUUCUGCACCAGCUUGUGGAUCG
rnacentral:sRNA from 1 species